rnacentral:rRNA from 1 species
UACGGAGGAUGCGAGCGUUAUCCGGAUUUAUUGGGUUUAAAGGGUGCGUAGGCGGCUUAGUAAGUCAGCGGUGAAAUUUUGCAGCUUAACUGUAACAGUGCCGUUGAUACUGCCAGGCUAGGAUUUGGUUGCUGUGGGUGGAAUGUGUGGUGUAGCGGUGAAAUGCUUAGAUAUCACACAGAAUAUCGAUUGCGAGGGCAGCUCACAAAGCCAAGAUUGACGCUGAGGCACGAAAGUGUGGGGAUCAAACA